rnacentral:rRNA from 1 species
CCUACGGGAGGCAGCAGUAGGGAAUAUUGCACAAUGGGGGAAACCCUGAUGCAGCGACGCCGCGUGAGGGAAGAAGUAUUUCGGUAUGUAAAGCUCUAUCAGCAGGGAAGAAGAAAGACGGUACCUGACUAAGAAGCCCCGGCUAACUACGUGCCAGCAGCCGCGGUAAUACGUAGGGGGCAAGCGUUAUCCGGAUUUACUGGGUGUAAGGGGCGCGUAGACGGCUGUGCAAGUCUGAAGUGAAAGCCUAGGGCUCAACCCUGGGACUGCUUUGGAAACUGUGGAGCUAGAGUGCUGGAGAGGUAAGUGGAAUUCCUAGUGUAGCGGUGAAAUGCGUAGAUAUUAGGAGGAACACUAGUGGCGAAGGCGGCUUACUGGACAGUAACUGACGUUGAGGCUCGAAAGCGUGGGGAGCAAACAGGAUUAGAUACCCCAGUAGUC